GUGCUUAAAAGCACAAAAUAAUAUGUUUUGGGUUCUAAAUAAUGAUAUAAACUAACAGAUUGAUAAAUAAGGAGUUCACUUUUUAAAGUAUGUCAAAUUUUAUCCAAAAAUAUCAAGAAAUAAGGGAUUACGAAAAGAAAACAGUACAUUUUAGCCAAUAACUGGUACAGUGCCAGUAAUGAUCAGCUUAUUGAAAUGUUAUGUCACAGUUGCAGUUUAUAAUCCACCAUAGAUUUGUUAGAUGUUUUUAGCAGUUCAGCUAUUCAGAUUUUCAUGCACCCUUGACAUCGUAAGUACCGUUUCUGUCUGCCCUGUCUGUUGUGCCUUUGGAAAGGGGGAGUGGGAUCUGUGAGAAAUACCUCUAAGCCAUCAUAUGGAUAUAUAUUUUGAUGACAAAACUCAAGCUAUUCCACAUGAACCAUGUUCAAACCCCUUCUUUCACCCCCUCCGG
rnacentral:sRNA from 1 species